rnacentral:lncRNA from 1 species
CAUUCUCAUUUGCAUAGUCUUUUGUCAUGUGAAUAAGUUCAUUGACUCCAAAAUUUACAGCAGUGUAUUCAAUCUGUCUGUGUUCACACACUGUGGACUCUUCUUCCACCUCCCAAACCAGGGUGUUCAAUAAAAGAAAGAAUCUCUGCCAGKGAUUUUGACAGCUUGAUAAGUGAAUUCUCCUUCUAGUACUCUAGGCUGGGACCAUAAAAUAAUACAAAUSAAAACUUUCAUCCCUGAGAUGUUGCCUCACUUUAUCAAAAUGACAGCAUGUUUUCAGUGAACCCCAGCUUUAUCCAGGCCUCCUGCAAAAUAACACAAGGAAAUGUGCCUUUACUCCUGUGCCAUUAUGUUAAAGAAAUUUCACAGCUGAACUUGAAAAGACUCAAGAAUUUAGAAUUAAAAUAUUGGCCGUGGUCCUUUGAACAAGCGCCUUUCACUAAGGACACAGAUGAAGGAAGUCACCUCACCUAUUUAACCAUGGCUGGACAUGUUGGAUACAGGAGACAUGGUCACAUCUCACAGCUACAUCACUGCAGCAUGUCCCCUGUCUUUCAGGCCUGGAUUUACGAAGGGACUAAGAGGAGUAWAACUCACCUUCCUGAUGUGUAGUGCCAGAAAACACAGUGUGUACAUUCCUGGUUACUUGGAYCACACAGAGCUGUACAAGCCCGCGUAUCCUGCUGUCUUUGAAGCUUUUCGUAGCUCCCC